CUUAGUGGCGAACGGGUGAGUAACGCGUGAGCAACCUGCCUUUCAGAGGGGGAUAACGUUUGGAAACGAACGCUAAUACCGCAUGAUAUAACGUAAUCGUCAUGAUUGUGGUUAUCAAAGGUAGCAAUCCGCUGAAAGAUGGGCUCGCGUCCGAUUAGGUAGUUGGUGGGGGUAACGGCCUACCAAGCCGACGAUCAGUAGCCGGACUGAGAGGUUGGACGGCCACAUUGGGACUGAGACACGGCCCAGACUCCUACGGGAGGCAGCAGUGGGGAAUAUUGCACAAUGGGCGCAAGCCUGAUGCAGCGAUGCCGCGUGAGGGAAAGAAGGUUUUAGGAUUGUAAACCUUCUGUCUUCAGGGACGAUAAUGACGGUACCUGAGGAGGAAGCUCCGGCUAACUACGUG
rnacentral:rRNA from 1 species